GGGCCCGCACAAGCGGUGGAGCAUGUGGUUUAAUUCGAUGCAACGCGAAGAACCUUACCAGCCCUUGACAUCCUCGGAACGACCUAGAGAUAGGUUGGUGCCUUCGGGAGCCGAGAGACAGGUGUUGCAUGGCUGUCGUCAGCUCGUGUCGUGAGAUGUUGGGUUAAGUCCCGCAACGAGCGCAACCCUCGUCCUAUGUUGCCAGCACGUAAUGGUGGGAACUCAUGGGAUACUGCCGGGGUCAACUCGGAGGAAGGUGGGGAUGACGUCAAAUCAUCAUGCCCCUUAUGUCUUGGGCUUCACGCAUGCUACAAUGGCCGGUACAGAGGGCUGCAAUACCGCAAGGUGGAGCGAAUCCCAAAAAGCCGGUCUCAGUUCGGAUUGAGGUCUGCAACUCGCCUACGUG
rnacentral:rRNA from 1 species